AUGGAAACCGUCCCCGACCAGCAAGAUGUGUCUGGUCCCAAAAAGGGUAGCCCCUUAAUGACAGACGUGGAGGUGGAGGAGAUAGCUGAAGUCGAGGGUGUUGUUGAUGACAUAAAAGGUGUUGAUGAAAUAGAGCCUUGUGAAGAACAGAGGAUACAAUACAGAAAGGAUGUUGCCUCACACAUGACAGUAGUUACACGGCCUAUGAACGAUGUUCCCUCCCCAACAACGCUCUUGCUUGAGAAAAGUUGUUCUCUUGUUGAAAUGAGAGGGAUAAGACACUGUGGUUGUGAUUGUUAUGCUGGGAACGAUGUUCCUCAUGGUCCCAGUAAUGCUGAUAACAAGUGA
rnacentral:rRNA from 1 species